rnacentral:rRNA from 1 species
GACGAACGCUGGCGGCGUGCUUAACACAUGCAAGUCGAACGGAAAGGCCCUGCUUUUGUGGGGUGCUCGAGUGGCGAACGGGUGAGUAACACGUGAGUAACCUGCCCUUGACUUUGGGAUAACUUCAGGAAACUGGGGCUAAUACCGGAUAGGAGCUCCUGCUGCAUGGGGGGGGUUGGAAAGUUUCGGCGGUUGGGGAUGGACUCGCGGCUUAUCAGCUUGUUGGUGGGGUAGUUGCUUACCAAGGCUUUGACGGGUAGCCGGCCUGGGAGGGUGACCGGCGACAUUGGGACUGAGAUACGGCCCAGACUCCUACGGGAGGCAGCAGUGGGGAAUAUUGCACAAUGGGCGGAAGCCUGAUGCAGCAACGCCGCGUGCGGGAUGACGGCCUUCGGGUUGUAAACCGCUUUCGCCUGUGACGAAGCGUGAGUGACGGUAAUGGGUAAAGAAGCACCGGCUAACUACGUG